rnacentral:misc_RNA from 1 species
GUUUAAAAAAAAAAAAAUUGGGCCAGUUCUAGUUCAAGAGAGCGGGAACCAUAACCGGCCCGCCUGCCCCCUCCGGUCCUUGUCCAAUUCAAAGACCAGAACCAUUGACCUGGUCCGGUCAGCUCUAUACGCCAUUGUGCUGGUAAUUAUGUUAGCUUAUAUGUUUUUCAUGUGUUUCAGUUACUUCAUCUUGAAUUUAUCUUUCUUAAAGCUACCUGAUCAGUAAAAUUUAGUAAUAUGAGAUAGAUUUGGGGGAAAGGAAUACAUUAUUUGAGUAUACACUUCUGUAGUUGCUAAAGAAAGAAGGGGCAUUUAGGAAAGAGGCUGAAGAUAAAAUGAUCAAUAACCUUUCUUUGAUUCUUUCUAAUAUCUAUGCAGGUUCCUUUUCAUCUGAAGUCUGA